GGGCCUUUUGUUCAGCCCUGACAAUAGAAUUGGGUGGAGGGGGCUGGGAAGGCAAGUAGCUGGGUUAGAGAUGCAUCCGUGGGGUGGGGGUAUGGGGAAGCUUGUGUUCAGCCACUGGGUACAUGAAAGCAACUGUGUGUGUGUGUGUGUGUGUGUGUGUGUGUGUGUGUGUGUGUGUGUGUGUGUCGGGGGAGGGUAUAAGGGAGCCCAGGGACACUGGGGCACCAGCUCGUUAACACGUGUGUAUGAAUGCCGGCUGUGCGCUUGGCAAAUCCUUAAUUACACAGGGAGAACUUCCUGAACCGGGAACUCAGUAUCGGUCCCUGAAAGGUUGGGUAAUGGCUUCUUCUUGCAUCUGGAAUCCAAGGGGACCAAUCUCUCUGGCUCCCCUGGGCUCUCAGAUUCUUCUAGAUGUCUUUGUCUUCUAAAAUUCUGGGAUCCCAAGGGAAGACACAUAGUUAAGGACACUCAGAAAUGCAUACCUUUCAACCCUACUAAUCAUCCUAAAACCUGUGCUUUCAACAUAUCACGUCCUUGAUCUGUAACCCUCAGGGGCACCCACGAUCUCCAAUGACUGGGAGUGAUGGCAUUUAAGUCUUUCCACCAUGCAGAAGUUUCUUCCCUCAUUCCCCAUGAAUUCUCUCCUGUAGCCAGCCUGGCCCCUCAUAACCCCUUGGAUAUACUGUAUCUUGAAUUCUCCAGCCUUUCUGCAGUUGCCUUCCUGGGACAUUCAUUCCCAUGUUCACAAUCUAGCCAAUUGUAUCCCUUCUCUAUUCAGUUCUAGCAUCAGUCAGUCAAUCAACAAGCAUUUAUUGAAAGUCCACUAUGUACAAGACAUGUUCUAGGCCCUGGUAAUACAUCAGAGACUGAGACAAAUACCUGUUCUUAAGGAUUUUAUAUUUUAAUGGGAGAAACAGAGUAGACUCAUGGCUCACGCCUAUAAUCCCAGGACUUUGGGAGGCCAAGGCAAGAGGAUCACUUGAGGCCAGGAGCUCAAAACCAGCCUGGGCAGCAAGUGUCUUCUUUUGCCUCUGCAAAAGAAAAUUAAAAAUAACAAAAAAAGGAAGCUAAACUAGAGUAUUGUGGUAGAGGGGUGUGUGUGUGUGCAUGUGGGUGCAUCCGUGUGUGUGGUAGGUUGAUGGGUGCUGUUUUAUUUAGCCAGGGAAGGUCUCUUUGAGGAGGUGGCAUUCGAGACCUUCUGGGUGGGAAGGAGGCAGCCAUGUGGUGAUCUGGGGAAGAGUGCUGCAAGCAGAAAGGCAAGUAAAAACAAAAGCCCUGAGGCAGAAAUGUGCUCCUUAUGCUUAAGAAACACCGUGAAGGCCAACGUGGUUGGAGCAAUGUGAGCAAGAAGAAUAGAGGGGCCUUGGGAACAUAGGUAGCUGAGUCCUCAUGGAUCAAGGCACCUUGACUUUAAGUGUCUGUUACACCAAAGGUUAUGGCAAACUGUGUCUGCAGCCCACAGUAAAAUCCAGUUUAAGGCUCUCCACACUGGAGUGCAGCUAUCCAGUUUUUCAGCCAUUUCCAAAAGGAAUUAUAUUGAUGUGUUAGUUGACAAGCCUACAAUGAAAAGAUAGAUGGGAAAAGAAGACCAUCAGACAGGUAAAGAAGAUUGUCAAAGACCAAUACCUUUGUUAAUGCGCUUGCUCCCCCAACAGCCAACCCCUCGAAGGGUCCCUCCCUGACCCAGCCCUCCUCCUCCCUCCCCUUAAUGUGAGAUCCUCACUGGGCCUCAGCCCAGGGCUUGCGUCCUGCCCUCAGGGCAUGAGCAUCUGGUUGAGACUGUCUCCAUCUUCUGGCGUAGCAGCUUUGGUCCCUUGUGAGCUACUCAACUCCUUGAUGGAGUCAUUUCAGAGUCUCUGGGAAAAAUUGAAGCUCUCCUCCAAGAGUUGGGGGUGGGCUCCCCUGGUCUGGAAUGUUCUUUCCCGUCUUAUUUGGAAGUUAGAAAGUGGCUAGUAACAUGGCCAGCGCCUGUGGGAUCAUCCUCUUCCUCAAGGUGGCUGGAUAUGUGGAGACAAGCACGAAGAAGUCCAGGCUCUGUCACGACGUUGCUGACUGGCUUCUGUCACAUUUUCAGGCAUCUUUUAGCUAGAGGUGCGCGUGUGACACCACAUGGACUGUGAGAAAUAGUCAAGUUCAGCCUAGUGACGCUUCUGGCAAAGCUUGUUUUCCUGAUUUUUAAAAAAGGAGUUGGGGGAGUGCCAUGCCUUUUGUCCUUCCUCCCUCCUCCUGCCUGGAACAUGGAUGUGAGACCAGGAAGUACAGCAGCCAUCUUGUGACCAUGAGGACUAAAGGCCUGCGCUGAGGAUGGUACAGUAAAAUGAAAGAAGCAGCCUGGAUGCCUGAUGAGCAGCUGUGCCAGCCCCAGGGUCAUGCAAAUCAGUGUCAAUCAUUGUGGUUCUGGUUUUCUCCUAUUUGUAGCCAAAUAAAUUCCUUACUGAUAUAGGCAGGGUCCUUGUUGGUUCCAAAAAAAAGUGGAUUCACAGAAAUAUAACUGAGAGAACCAUGAAUUUCUAAAGAAGUCCUAGAAAUAGAUCAGUCAGAGAAGUUGUCCAUUUCAGGCAGGGGUUUCUACUGUAAGUUGCUUGGAUGGAAAAUAAAUCAGUGUUAAGGAGGUGAGAAUGCCAUCACUUGAAUUGUAUGACUAUAUCUUAUUAAAUCUCAGAUGCCAUCAGUUGUAAGGUAUAGCAUUAUUUUACAUAUCACUAUGAGAGAAGAAAAUGCUCUCAAGACAUAUCACUGAUUGUAAGAUGCAUCCACCUUGAUUUCAGAGAUUUUAAAAUGUGAAAAAAGGGAGGGACAUCUUAGGAUCAGUGAAAUAUGGCACAUAUUUAUUUGCUUCCUUGAUUCCUGCCUGCUGUGCUCAUUAGACCAGAGACACUGUCUGCCAUGCUCUCUGCCAAGUCCUCCAUACCUAGAAUUGGGCCUGGCAUAGAGUGGGGUCUAUAAAUAUUGGUUAAUUAAUAAGUUAACUAAUAAGUUCUAGUCCUUGCUUUUCCAAUAACUUCCCAUGCUACCCUGGCUGGAGAAAGCAUUUCCCUUUCUCUGUACCUCAUUUCUCCAUAAUCUAGUUCAACUGACCCUCACCAGAACUGAAGAAACAAAAAGCCCCAAAUACAUGCAAAGCGGACCUACACUCUGCAUCACCAUGGUGACGCCUCCCAGGGUCCCAGAGGGCAGGGAGGCCUCAUCUUCCACCAUCCCUAGAAAUCUCUCUUUCCCCAGAGCCCAACUCCUUCUAAAGCUCUGUGGUUAACCCUUUCCAGGCAAGCCUUUUCCAACACUCUGUUAGGGUUACUAAAUGUGCUCCCUACAAAUGGACUAGGGCCAAGGAAUUAUGCAAGAUCCUUCAAGCAAAGAGAUGGUAUUUUGUAACUUCCCUGAGUUUCUCCAGGAAGAUGAAAUGCACAACAUAUUUUAGAAUAAUAUCAACCUACAUAUGUCAGAGAGGUAGUCUUGUCUGACCAAAGCCCUUGAGCUGGUGAGGGGCGGGGUUCCAGGUGCCCCUUCUGCUGCACUAGCAUUGUAUUCAGAAGUAAUAAAGAUGAUGGCUUUCAUGUAAUGAGUGACGAACCCUUUGCAUAUAUUCCUUCAUUGAGUCUUCAACAGAAACUUAUGGGGUAGGAAGUAUCUUUAUCCCCAUUUUACAAGUGGGGAAACUGAGGCAUAUAGCUGUUAAGUAGGUGGCAGAGCCUGGCCUCGAAGUCAGGUGGGGUAGCACCAGAGUUUAUGCUCUUAACCACUAUGCUCUA
rnacentral:lncRNA from 10 species